rnacentral:lncRNA from 1 species
ACCUGCAGCAUGGCGGGUGCCGCGAGGUCCAGCUGCUGCAGAGCUGGAGCCAGUGCCUCCACGGAGGGGGGCUGGGGCGCUUCGGAGAGGAUGAGAGCUGGUGGGGAUGAAGGCACUGCCAGGGAGCGAGGGGAGGAUUCUCCAUUGGGCAGUGCCGGGGUCACUGGGGGGCGAGGGGUGCCCUCGGGGACAGCCAGUGACACCCCUGCCUGGGGCUGCUCCCUGGGGGCUGUCUCCCUCCGUGGGGACGCCAGGGUGAUGAAGACAGAUGAAGCCAUCCUCUUCUCUGCCUUCCUGGGCAGCAUCGCAGAAACGGCGGAGGGG